UACGUAGGGGGCAAGCGUUGUUCGGAUUUACUGGGCGUAAAGGGCGCGUAGGCGGCGCGUAAAGUCGGACAUGAAAUCAUUGGGCUUAACCCGAUGGCUGGGCCCGAUACUUGCGUGCUUAGAGUGCGGGAGAGGCAAUCGGAAUUCUCGGUGUAGCGGUGAAAUGCGUAGAUAUCGAGAGGAACUCCGGUGACGAAGGUGGGUUGCUGGACCGACACUGACGCUGAGGCGCGAAAGCUAGGGGAGCAAACGGG
rnacentral:rRNA from 1 species